CCUGCCCAGAGCACCCAGAGCUUUUCCUCAUGUACUACUGGAUGACUCCACAAGCUUGGACACGAUGGUGGCCUACAGUCAAUGAAGUGGAAAUGCCAGAACUGCCUUGGCUGAGUUUUAAAGAAGGCCGGCCCCACUGGCCUUGUGGUUAACUUUGGUGCACUCUGCUUCGGCGGCUCAAGUUCGGUUCCUAGUUUUCCCAGGGGUGUGACAACCUCCGGAAAAGAGCCCUCCACUGGUAUCUGUCACUUGUGACAAGAGAAAGGGAUGAUCUGGCAUCUCAAGGACUACAACACCAGAUGGUCAACAUUCUGAGACCCCAUUUUCAGCCCAUUUGCCCUAUAACUGCUUCAAAAUGUUUUAGUUUUAAGAUGGUUCUUUAGGACGCUAGUCCACCAUCUUCCCCCUUGCUAGCAAGCUGUAAUAAAAAGACCCUUUCUCACCUACCACCUUGCCUCUUGACUGUUGGCUUGUCUUUGCAGCAAGUAAAGGACCCCUUUUGGCGGUAACAGUAAUAGUAUGGGUGGUUUCCUUAGGGUCCUCUGUUUCCUUUAGGUCCCUUUCUUAGAUGGGGUUCUGAGGUCAUGUGCAC
rnacentral:lncRNA from 1 species